GGGGUGUGUGUGUGAGAUUGAGAGAGAGGCCGACAGACUGAGAGAAGAAGGGUGUUGUGUGAAAAACUAUGGACAUACACUGCAUGAGGGAGAUUGUACAUGAGAGAGGCUGUGUGUAUGUAUGAGGGAUAUUGUGUGUGCGUAAGAGACCGUUAGAGAGUGUGAGAGAGACGCUGAGCGUGAUUUGUGUGUGUGUGUGAGAGAGAUUCUAUAUAAAAGAAACUGCGUAUAAGAGAUUGUAUGCACUUUGGGAGGCCGAGGCGGGCAGAUAGCUUGAGCCCAGGAGUUGGAGACCAGCCUGGGCAACCCCAUCUCUACUAAAAAUAGAAUUAGGCGGGCGUGGUGGCGGCAGUGUGGUCCCAGCUACUCAGGAGGCUGAGGUGGGAGGAUCGUCUCAGCGCGGGAAGUCGAGGCUGCAGUGAGCAGAGAUCACACCACUGCACUCCAGCGUGGGCGACAGAACCAGACCCCGUUUCAGAGAGAGAGUACAAAGUUUCAGUUAGAC
rnacentral:lncRNA from 1 species